GAUGAACGCUGGCGGCGUGCCUAAUACAUGCAAGUCGAGCGAACGGACGAGAAGCUUGCUUUUCUGAUGUUAGCGGCGGACGGGUGAGUAACACGUGGAUAACCUACCUAUAAGACUGGGAUAACUUCGGGAAACCGGAGCUAAUACCGGAUAAUAUUUUGAACCGCAUGGUUCAAAAGUGAAAGACGGUCUUGCUGUCACUUAUAGAUGGAUCCGCGCUGCAUUAGCUAGUUGGUAAGGUAACGGCUUACCAAGGCGACGAUGCAUAGCCGACCUGAGAGGGUGAUCAGCCACACUGGAACUGAGACACGGUCCAGACUCCUACGGGAGGCAGCAGUGGGGAAUAUUCCGCAAUGGGCGAAAGCCUGACGCAGCAACGCCGCGUGAGUGAUGAAGGUCUUCGGAUCGUAAAACUCUGUUAGUAGGGAAGAACAGAUGUGUAAGUAACUGUGCCCAUCUUGACGGUACCUAAUGAGAAAGCCACGGCUAACUACGUG
rnacentral:rRNA from 1 species